ACACAUGCAAGUCGAACGAUGAAGCCCAGCUUGCUGGGUGGAUUAGUGGCGAACGGGUGAGUAACACGUGAGUAACCUGCCCUUAACUCUGGGAUAAGCCUGGGAAACUGGGUCUAAUACCGGAUAGGAGCGCCUACCGCAUGGUGGGUGUUGGAAAGAUUUAUCGGUUUUGGAUGGACUCGCGGCCUAUCAGCUUGUUGGUGAGGUAAUGGCUCACCAAGGCGACGACGGGUAGCCGGCCUGAGAGGGUGACCGGCCACACUGGGACUGAGACACGGCCCAGACUCCUACGGGAGGCAGCAGUGGGGAAUAUUGCACAAUGGGCGAAAGCCUGAUGCAGCGACGCCGCGUGAGGGAUGACGGCCUUCGGGUUGUAAACCUCUUUCAGUAGGGAAGAAGCGAAAGUGACGGUACCUGCAGAAGAAGCACCGGCUAACUACGUGCCAGCAGCCGCGGUAAUACGUAGGGUGCGAGCGUUAUCCGGAAUUAUUGGGCGUAAAGAGCUCGUAGGCGGUUUGUCGCGUCUGUCGUGAAAGUCCGGGGCUUAACCCCGGAUCUGCGGUGGGUACGGGCAGACUAGAGUGCAGUAGGGGAGACUGGAAUUCCUGGUGUAGCGGUGGAAUGCGCAGAUAUCAGGAGGAACACCGAUGGCGAAGGCAGGUCUCUGGGCUGUAACUGACGCUGAGGAGCGAAAGCAUGGGGAGCGAACAGGAUUAGAUACCCUGGUAGUCCAUGCCGUAAACGUUGGGCACUAGGUGUGGGGACCAUUCCACGGUUUCCGCGCCGCAGCUAACGCAUUAAGUGCCCCGCCUGGGGAGUACGGCCGCAAGGCUAAACUCAAAG
rnacentral:rRNA from 1 species